rnacentral:rRNA from 1 species
UACGGGGGGGGCAAGCGUUGUUCGGAAUUACUGGGCGUAAAGCGCGCGUAGGCGGCCCUGUAAGUCCGUUGUGAAAGUCGAAGGCUCAACCUUCGAAAGCCGAUGGAUACUGCAGGGCUAGAGUCCGGAAGAGGCGAGUGGAAUUCCUGGUGUAGCGGUGGAAUGCGCAGAUAUCAGGAGGAACACCAAUAGCGAAGGCAGCUCGCUGGGACGGUACUGACGCUAAGGCGCGAAAGCGUGGGGAGCGAACAGG